rnacentral:lncRNA from 1 species
GGAAGUGCUACAUGUCAAAUUCAUCACAACACACCCCAAUGGCUCAACUCUGGUAUUUCCAGGUAGCCAAGACAUAAAAAAAUCCAACAUGUAUGGGGUGGAGAAAAGAAGAACACCACACCAUCAUCUAUGUACUCACAAACAUCAAAACACCAAAACUACACAAUCUGCCAUAAACAGCAUCAUAGCACUUUGUGAGCUACAUGCAAAGCACCUACAACCACCUAAAAAUGCCAAAUAAGAUAUGUGGCAGUAGCUAUCCAAGAGUACUAC